AUUUUGCUUACGUAAAAGUAACCAGUUCGAUCCUCUCUCCAUUCAAAUACUACUCGUAUUAGAUUUAAUAAUCUGAUACAUAUGAUUUCUGCUUCGCUAUUUCGUGCGUGCUAACCGGCAAAUCGUAAGCAGGGUUUAGUGUCUGUUCUAGUACUAACAGUUAUUAGCUUCAACCGUGUUACUUUGCCUCACUAGUAAAACUAGUUACUAUAUAUAGGCCAAGCUAGUGUCGCACACGGUUUGGUUUCUGUGAGCACACGAGUUUCUUUUGGAAGAUCAUAUAAUCAAUCAAUGGCUGAGAAGAUACUUGACUCCACCCGAACAGGGAUGAUAAAAAGCUCCUCCCAUCUAAUUACUUCCAUUUAUGGCAACGAUUCCCUUGAGCUGGUAUGUGAAAAUGGUCAAAUUCAUAUGCAAGGAGGUUCAUCAUCAAGUGUUACAAGAAAGUUUCCCUCGUGCUAUAGAUAUUCAAAAAGCCAUUCCCGUGGCGAAGAAGCAGAUAACGAAGAUGCCUGCAUUGCAAAAAAUGCAACGUUAAGCACAUAUUCGCUUUUGGACUUCCCAGUUCAAAGAGACUCUGACUUAUACAAAAGUUGCUGCAAGCUUAAAGUUGGAUCUGCAAACUUAAAAGAAUCUAAAGGAUCACAUGGUCUCACAGGAAUUCAAGGGCAAAAACCUUUUAUUCCAAGAAGUCAGGAACCACCUCCUGAUGAGCAUUCUGAAGCUGUUGGUCAUGACAGUGCCCUUAGUAUUCACGAAUUCCAUGGUCAAUAUUAUAAUCAAACCUCAAGCUCUGCAGGAGUUGGAUCAAAGAGAAAAGCUCAUACUAACUACUGUGAUGAACCCUUGCUAGAAUCUUCUUCCUUAUACUCGCUUGGAGCAUCAAGUAACACAAAUAUCAGUAGCAGGAAACAUGAUCAUGACACCGAUGACUCAAUAUAUUUAAGUGAUGACUACAAUGAUGAAGAACCAGAAGAUGUAGGUAAGGAAAAGCAUGCUCGGAAAGGCACCAGAGUCAAGAGAAGCAGGAAUGCAGAGAAUCAUAAUUUACAUGAAAGGAAGCGAAGAGAUAAGAUCAACAAGAAGAUGUGCAUAUUGAAAGAGCUCAUACCCAAUUGCAAUAAGAUGGACAAAGCUUCAAUACUUGACGAUGCCAUCGAAUAUAUUAAGACCCUAAAGCUUCAGUUAAAGGAUUGAGACAUUUGGACCGACCGUGAGUGAUCAACCGCUUGAACAAGCUAUGGAGCAUGAGUAGCUCAUUGGAAUUGGUGUUGGUUUUGGAGUAGAGUAUUGUUGACAUUGGUGAAGAACAAAGGUCGACUGAAGCAUUGAGGUAAGCCUUCGGACCUUGGGUGUAAUUCCCUUGACUGUUCUACCAAGCCCUGAAAGGGUGGAGGUUGUGAUUGUGUAUAUAAAUGCAAUAAAAUAGUGUAAUACUUUGUUAUACGUAUGUGUAUGCAUUUGGUGUGGCAUAGGAUGGUGUUUCCCUAUGUGGGUAUGUUGCAUGACGAUGCGUAAAUCAUACAUGGUAGUUAGCUGGCCAGUAGGACUAUUUGCAUCUGAGUUUCCUUAGGACAGCUUGAGAGCUCGAGGGAUUUCUCCUGGAGAUGUAUUGCACUUUGCAUAGAUAUGUAUUUACUGCAUUAUUAUUGUUAUUGCUAUUACACUGAUAUGGAACUGUGGGGUGGAGAGAUGCUCCAAGGACCCCUGGUUUACUGGAUAUAUUCGUAUAUCUCACCCCGUGUUGUGGGGACCCCCUUUCAGGUAAGGAUGCUGCAGGAGCCUCUGGUGGCAAGUGGCCAUAUCUGGAUUAUGCAUGAAAUAUGGCACUUCUUUGAGUUUAUGCAUGCCUUUUGUAGUUGACAUGUAUAGGAUUUUAUUUUGA